rnacentral:rRNA from 1 species
GACGGAGGGUGCAAGCGUUGUUCGGAUUGACUGGGCGUAAAGGGCGUGUAGGCGGUCGGCCAAGUCUGAUGUGAAAGCCCGAGGCUCAGCCUCGGAAGUGCGUCGGAAACUAGUCGGCUGGAGCGCGAUAGAGGAGGGUGGAAUUCCUGGUGUAGCGGUGAAAUGCGUAGAUAUCAGGAAGAACACCGGUGGCGAAGGCGCUCUGCUAGGCCGCAACUGACACUGAGGGACGAAAGCUAGGGGAGCGAAUGGG